AAAGGCGAAGUGCGUUAUGGUUGCUGUCAUGUGACACACGCCACCACAAGAAAGCGGAAACGCAUCGUAGAGCAAGAGCCAUGUGGGAUCCUUGCUCCUGAUAUCCUGAUGUAUGGGUUGCAUUUCAUUAUAUGACUCCAACAGAACACUCACAGAAAGGAGAGUGGUGUCAAACUACAAGACAGCCAGCAUGUUGUCAGCUGUUGUCAGGCUCAUCACCAAAGCAGAAAGACAUAGUGAGACCAGACAUGCCAGGAAGGAGCAAGGCACAGGCCAGGAAGGAGCAAGGCAAAGCCCAGGAAUUUUUCUGCAGCUGUUCCCGCCAGCUAUCGAAGGACUGCUCCUGAGAAUAGAUGGGUGUCUACAUUGUUUUGCAAAAUGGGUCUUCUACACAUGAUGCUUGUCAAGCACUGCUCAUUGACUGGUCACGGGUCCUCUGUAUUGUGGCCACUGGUCAAAGGCGGCACAUGACUGUCUCAGAGUCCUCUACAUCAUUCCGGUGACGGGACUUCUGGCCUAGCCUGACAGGAUGGGUCUUGUGUUACUGUGACCAGACAGCUCAACAAUGCGUCAUCGCUCAUCCAUGCCCUCAUCGCCUCAAGACUGGAGUACUACAACAGCAUUCUCUAUGGUCUUGAAAAAUAUUAUUGUCUUUAUUAUUAUUAUUAUUAUUAUUAUUAUUAUAAGUACAGGUCUCUCUGCACCCGAACCAGCAGGUUCAGAGGAAGCUUCUUUUCUGUAGCUGUCAUCCGACUGGACUGUAGCUCUGUAUCCCGGUGACAACCCAUCAACUAAGCCCCCAAUACCCUAUCCCACCCAUAGUGUUAUUUAUUUACAAAUGCACAUACUGUAAUUAUAAUUAUACAUAACCAUAUGCUACUGCUCUUCAUAUUAUCCAUCCUGAACAUACACUUCUUACUACUCUUAUAAUGUUACUGUAGCUGUACGUACUAUACAUAUCUGUGUAUAUGGUUCAUAUCUAAAUAUCAUAUUUAUUCUGUUUCUCAUAUGUUCUGUUAAUACACUGCACAACCCAUAUUUAUAUCUAAUUUAUAUGACUCUA